UCAGUUGCUGUCUGUGGGGUUUGCCUUGAGGAUGGAGGGUGGGAAGUCUUGGCCCUGGGAGCAGGAGUUUUUCUCCUGGCUCUUCCAUGGGAAAAGUAGAGAUGCACCAUGUCUGGAGGAUAGAGGUCCUGGGAGGUGUUUUUCUGGAUGGAAGGAAAUAUGCAUCUUCUGAAUGGACUUUUUUUUGCUGUUUGACAUCUCCUUUCCAGAUGACACCUUUGACUGGAAGUGACAGUGGAGCAGAUCAUUUGUGUAAUUACAGCAACAGUCGUUGAGGAAGGAAAGAAUAUCUCCAAAGCAUAUAAAACAUGAAAUGGAUUUGAUAGUGUAUGAACCCUGUAACCGGAGCUGCAGGAACCUUCUGGCUUAGUGAGGCUAUAAAACCGGGGUGAGGUACUUUACACUUCGUUCUAGGAAACAUCAUGCAUGAUGUAAAUGUGUCAGGGUUUCCUACGAUGAACGCACAAAGCAAUAAGCAGAAAAGCUGGAGUAUCCACAAAGCAAGAUUGAAGUGAUAUGCUGCCGAAAAGGAAAAUUCCUGUAAUGGUAAAACAAAUGCUUAGGAUGUGUUGCAAGCAACAAAUUCCUUAAAUACCGUGUGAGAAAGUCCUGGGCACAAUAGCCUGUACACAACUGAGAACCUGAAUAUCUUGUAUGCAAUUGAGCCGAAGCUGUCAGAGCAAGUGAAGCUGUCCCACCAGUGCUGGUGGGAACUCCAGGAGCUGUAAGAUCAUGGUGAAAACCAAAUGCUUCCUGAGAUAGGUACUGUUCUCGUGCCUACAUAUACACCAGGAAGACUGGAAAACUGCCCCAGAGAGCUAAAUGUCUAGUCAACAUCAAAGACAGCAGAGAGGUGCCUGGCUGUGCUUUGUGUUGAUGAGCUGUGUGUGUGACUGAUGCUGCAUGCUGGUGGCUCAUCCUGCUGCACGUGGUGCUGUGACCUGCCUAAUCAAGCGCCAUGAGACUCUAACCUGCAGAACAUGAUGGGGAUCGGUACACAAUUUAAAUCUGUCAUGUUUUUUUUUUUUUUUUCCCUGCUACAGAUAAAAGUAUGUUGAUUUGCCAGCCCCAACUGUGAAAUGUUCCCACUGCCUGAACCAUUUUCUGCACAACACUUGUUUUCUUUGUAAAAGCUUUUUUCUAUUGAUCUGAAUUGACUUGUGCAGGAAAGCCUUGUGAGUUCAAUGCAAAUUGUUACUGGGCACUUACUGUGAGCAGCAGAGCAAUACAAAAGGAUGCUGUUGAUGUAGAUGUGCAGUGUAUGUAUUUCAGGACGUCUCCCUGUAUUGAUAUUUGGUCUGAUCUUGCUUUCAGAGUAUAAGCAAGUAGUCAAUUAAUGCAUUUUUAAAUGUUUUGAGGAGAAGCUAAAUCUAAAAUCCGAGGAGGGCAUAUGUUUGGUAGAGCAAUGCUGAAUCUGUGCAUCUUUCCAUUUUCCAGACUGAACUGAAAUUGAUCUAAUUCUUUCAGCUGAGACAACAUCAACUACUACUUUUGUCCCAGGUGUACGUUGGAGAUGGGGAAAGGCACCAAAAUGCCACCAGAAACAGCAUCUCUUUUAGCUUUUUUUUCCCUUGCUGAAAUAAUUGUUUUUAAGAAGUUCUCUUUCUGUGAGUCAGUUGUGCAGCUCAGUUCCUUUAAUGAAAACCUGUGAGUAGGUUUGGGGUCAGAAGAAGUAUCAGUUUAAUGAUUUAACCAUGCAUACUCUGGAGCCCCCUUGAGCUCCCUGCUGCACCCAAUGUUCUCAGCCCGCAGGUUGCCCACAUGCCACAGUGAGUGGGGUGAAGUCUUGUUUGUUUGAGGAGUAUCUGUGCUAGCAGGAUUUGGCCCUUCAUACUUUUGUUCAAAAACACUGAAUGUUAUACAGCAGCAAGGCUUGUUGUAGUUCAACAUUUCUACAUCUGUGAUAGAAUAAAGCGCCCAAAGAGAACGCUUGCAGUAUUCAUGAUGGUAUUCUAGCUCCAGACUAAGAAGGAUUUGAUGGGAAAAAGACAAACUACUGAAUCUUCUGUUCAUGAACUAAAUCUCCAGGAGCGUGCACGUGGAGCAGCAGACCACAGGAAGCUCUUCCACCCAGCUGAGCCGUGCUGUUUACCCAAGGUCUGUCCCAGCAGCUCCCACCUCUGAGCCUUUCCUGAGCAUGAGCUACAAAAUUCAGUUCAAAGCUGUCAACCAAACCAUAAAUUAUCAAAUUUAUA